CACCGCGCGGCCGGGAUGGGGCGGCCCCGAGGAGCUCCGCGCUGCCGGGAGAGCGGCGGGGUUCUUACCCGGAGAAUGGGUGGUACAGAGUGCGGGACUCAGGUGCCGUGCCCGGGGUGACCGUGCUGGGGGAUGUAAGGAUGGAGCGCAGCCCUGCCGAAAAGGACCUGGGAGUGCUGGCGGACAGGAGCCAGCAAUGUGCCCUCGCAGCCCAGAAGGCAAACCGUAUCCUGGGCUGCGUCAGAAGCAGCGCGGCCAGCAAGGUGGUUAGGCUGAAUUGUGCUGACUGCAAAGCAGAGAGAUGCUGUGUUCCUGAGAUGACUCUCCGGUCCCAAAGGAAGGUUUUUGACUCCUGAAAUGAGCUGUGGGUGCUGCAGGGUGAGCACAGGCAGAGCUCCAGUUCCUCUCCGGCUGAAAUCCACUGCAGUGUGUGGCACAGAUUGCCACUUCCCCCCCCCCCCCCCCCCCCCCCCCGCCCAGUUCCUGUUGCACUUCUCAGCAGCUCCUGUUGCCCUCUUCCUGUUCAUCCCCAGCCUGUGUCUGAUCUCCCCUCUUUUUUUCUGCAGCCUUCUCUCCAUCCUCAGCCAACCACUUUCUUUCUCCGCACUGACCUCUGGAUGGGGAUGUGAAAAGCAGCACCGAGAGGCACAGCUCUGUUUGGUUCUGCCUUCAGAGAUGGGACAUUCAGGGAAUGUAGCUGCUGAGCUGCUGGUGCAAGCCGAGGGGUGCCCUAUGGCAGGGAAGGCUCUGCCAGCAGAGCAGCCGCCUCCCGCUGAGCCGAGGCGUGUUGGCGUGCCGGCAAUGCACUGAGCAGCUCUGUAAUAGCAGCUCCUAUCAAGGUGGUUUAGAUUAGCAUAAUGGACUCAGCAAAUCAGAAAUGUGUGCGGAGUCAGUGAGCACAGCCCCACUGACAAGCUGUAACUUGAGAACCUGCUCUGUACAGGGGGACAAAUUUGGGCAAAUCUUAGAGGCUCAUCAAAGGCACGGCCUGGGACAAUGGGGCGGUUUCUGCACCACUUCAAGUUCCUGCUCCAAAAGCAAUAGAGGUUCCAGCAACAAAUGUGAGGGGUGGGAUAAUGUUGGGCAAGGAACUUCACUUUCUCUGGUAUAUUGUUUCUGGAAUGGCCAAAUUUUAGAAGAAGCUUUCCAAAAUACUCCAGCCUGGGGCAGGCACCUGGUACGGAAAUCCUCAUCCUGAAUGGCUUCAAACUUGGCAAUAUCUUCUAGUGAUUGAAGAAACUUGUAAUGAGAAGCACUAAGUAAUCAGCUACAUGGGGCACUACUUGUUUUAUCUGCCUCGUAAUUAAGUUUAAGGAAUGAAGUCAUUUCAGGUUGGAUAUUAGGAAAAAUAUCUGCUCAGGAAGAGCGGUGAUGCAUUGGCACAGCUGCCCAGGGAGGUGGGGCAGUCACCGUCCCUGGAGGUGUUUGAGAGCCGUGUGGAUGUGGCACUGAGGGAUGUGGUCAGUGGGCAUGGGGGGGGUGGGUCGCUGGUUGGACUCAAUGACCUCAGUG
ensembl:lncRNA